CGUGGACAACCUACCCUUAGGUCGGGGAUAAACCCGGGAAACUGGGUAUAAUACCCGAUAGUCCUCGAAUGCUGGAAUGCAUCGAGGUCUAAAGCUCCGGCGCCUAAGGAUGGGUCUGCGGCCUAUCAGGUAGUAGUGGGUGUAGCGUACCUACUAGCCUACGACGGGUACGGGUUGUGAGAGCAAGAGCCCGGAGAUGGAUUCUGAGACACGAAUCCAGGCCCUACGGGGUGCAGCAGGCGCGAAAACUUUACAAUGCUGGCAACAGCGAUAAGGGGACCUCGAGUGCCAGGUUACAAAUCUGGCUGUCGUGAUGCCUAAAAAGCAUUGCAUAGCAAGGGCCGGGCAAGACCGGUGCCAGCCGCCGCGGUAACACCGACGGCUCGAGUGGUAACCGUUAUUAUUGGGUCUAAAGGGUCUGUAGCCGGCCGGAUAAGUCUCUUGGGAAAUCUGGCAGCUUAACUGUCAGGCUUUCAGGAGAUACUGUCUGGCUCGAGGCCGGGAGAGGUGAGAGGUACUUCAGGGGUAGGGGUGAAAUCUU
rnacentral:rRNA from 1 species